GGGGGAUAAAAGGCCCCUCGCCUGAAACCCACAGGUCCAAGUCAUAUGGGACGGACGCCCACCUUCCUGGCUGAACUCUUCCCCGCCUCUAAGGAGGCUCGCUCUGAAGCCGAGGCCAGGUAUUUGCAAAUAACUAAAUGGCAAAUACUCCUGAAGCUGCAGACAUUUCAAACCUAUUGGAUCUUGUCCUACCCAGAAACCUGGAUGGAGGUUAAAGAAAUGUGAAAGUGAGAUGGGACAGCCUCCUGUGAAUGAGCGGCAGGAACUUCUUGGCCUCUUGCACAAGGAUCCAAAAUUGGGUUCCAGUCAGUCCGUAUAGGAAGAAGGGGAUCUCUCAAGAGGGCCUGUGGCUCGUCGCCACCAUCUGAGCUCUUGGCAGGUGUGGAGAGGAACACUCUCGCUGCCCCCUCAGCAUCACAGAACCCUGUUCCAUGAGCUCCCUGCUGCUUAGGGCAAGCCCAGUUCACCUCUGGAUCUGCAACCAACAUCAAGUAGGACGAGUCCCAUUUUACAGUCAAGGAAACCGAGGCUGUACAAGCGUCAUCAGAGGCCACGGUUCAUGUGCAAAGUGGGUUCCUCACCUUUCGUUUUCAACAGAAACACCCAGACCUCUCUACCCCAGUCCACCCACAGAAUUCUUUUAUGCCCUUUUUUUUUUUCUGUUGUAUCUUUUUAAACCUAAAAAUUGGCCGUUGAAAGAUCUGCUUUAAAUAUACCUGCGUAGACAAGUACAGAGUCUGGCCAGGUAUUAUUCGUUAGUUAUUAUUAAAUAAGCAUGUGAGUAGCAGCCAUCAAGAGAAUAACCAUGUGCCGGACACUCGCCUGAGCGUUUUGCAUGUAUUACGCACUGAUUCUUGGGGCGGCUUUAUAAAGUAAAGGAGUGUUAUCUCCAUUUUACACAGGGGGAAACUGAGGUCCAGAGAGGCAGAAUAAGAAUAAUUAUUUGAAAUCAUACUGCCAGGAAGUGUACUGAGAACUGGGAUUAAAUUCUAAGCUGUGGUCUUAACCACUUUGCUACCCUGUAAAAGGUUUAGCAUGGUUCCUAAGAGGUGGCACUGGUGGCGGGCGAUGGAUCCUAAGUCUCCCUAAGAGCCCUUCGCUGGCUGUACAGCCCCACUGACUUUGCUUUGCCUGGGGAGGUGAGUCAGCCCCUACCCUCUAAGCCAGGGAAACUCUGUCCUGAGGCUUUGCUCCUGACAACUUCUAUCUACUCCUCCUUUCUCUCCUUCAAAAUAGAGAAAUGCCCUGGGGUAGGCAUGGAAGUUAGGAUAGGAAGUGGGCUACCCUUGUCCUAGUCCUGCGCCUCUCUCUCCAUCCCCUAUGGAAGCAGUUCCUUCCUUGCUGCUGUCACUGAAGAGGAUGCCUUGGUGGAGGAGGGUGUGGAUAUUUACUGAACUUACGGAACUACCUGCCAGGUGCUAUGGUAAGGACUGGGGAUAAAGCAGACAACAAAAACAGACUCAGUCCUGGGGCUGCCCUCCUGGAGUUUACAACUGAGUAGGGAAACAGUACUUAAUUAAAUUGAUCUCAUGAACAAUUAUGAGAUUACAGAUGCAUUAAAUGCUAAGAAGACGAGGACAGGGUAAAUAAGAGGAAGUUUUAGGUCAUGGGUCUGAGACAUCUCUGAGAAAGAGCUCUGAGGGCAUGCAGGCUACAGGGUGGAGGGAAAUGUGUUCUAGGCGGUGGGAAUAGCACUUGCUAAGGUCCUGGAACACAGGGAGCUGAGGGGAGGCCCUUGUGGCUGGAGCAUGCAGGGGGAGAGAAAGAAUCUGGUGAAGAAGACAGGGGCCAGAUCAUGAAACCUUAAGAAAUGAAGUCAUUGGAGGCUUUUCAGCAAACAGGUUAGUAAUGUGAUCAGAUGUAAAUAAAACAUUUUGCAUAGCGUCUAGCACAAUGGUAGCUCAUAGAAAGCAAAAAAAGCCCUCCUUUCAUUUGGAAUAGUCUUUGUAUCUGUAGAUAUAGAUGUGGUCUCUGUAUCUGUAGAUAACAUUUUAUCCCAAUUUCUCCGGACAUCAAGUGAAUGAAUGCUCAAGUUAUUUAUUAUCAUUAUCAUUCAUAGUGAUAAUAACAUUACUCCUAAUUUGCUUUCCCUGAAUUGCCUAAGGAGACAACUUUUUAAAAAGAUUUAUUUAUUUAUUUGAGAGAGAGAGAGU